UACGUAGGGUGCAAGCGUUAAUCGGAAUUACUGGGCGUAAAGCGUGCGCAGGCGGUUAUAUAAGACAGAUGUGAAAUCCCCGGGCUCAACCUGGGAACUGCAUUUGUGACUGUAUAGCUAGAGUACGGUAGAGGGGGAUGGAAUUCCGCGUGUAGCAGUGAAAUGCGUAGAUAUGCGGAGGAACACCGAUGGCGAAGGCAAUCCCCUGGACCUGUACUGACGCUCAUGCACGAAAGCGUGGGGAGCAAAUAGG
rnacentral:rRNA from 1 species